CAGUAAGUUACUCAUUAUUUUUAGAGUUACUUAAUAUUUACUUGAAAUUUUAAUUUCAGGACAAGCAACUGAAGAUUCUGAAGAUGAUGAACUGGGUCUUGGUCCUCCCAGCGGAUUAAAACCAGAUGCUAUUUUAAGGCUGUUUUAUGUCUUUGUUGUUGUAGGAGUUGUUGUACUUAUAUACAUUCUCAUCAAAUUUUUAAGGUUUAGGAGAAAACGAGCUACAAGAAAAUAUCGUGUCCUGUCACACACAGAUGAGCAGGAAAUGUUUCCUCUAGCUGCAGAUGAUGGUGAUGAUGAAGAAAUAUUUAAUGCAGCAGAUCAUCAGACUCUUAAAUGAAUCUCCAUUGUUGUUAAUUUAUUGAUUAUUUUUAUUCACUGUAUGCUGUCUACUAUGUAUAUAGUGUACUGUAUGAUUAGUGUUCUUUUUGAAGUUUGAUAUGCAAUGAACUUUUGUGUGAUCCUGUUAUUAAGAUGGAUAUAAUUGUUACAGUUUUCCAGUCUCAUUGUAAUGAUCCUGAUUUGUACUAUUUUCUUUUAUUUGUGAUGAGUGAUACAAUUUCCGAUUUUGAUUUUCAUUUGUAAUUAUAAAAUGGAAAUAAUUCUGCCUUAUUCAGCUUUGGGAGUGAAAGACUGGUGGAAGGAAGUCUUGUGUAUACUUGCUAAACUGCUUAUGUGUUUGUCAGCUUGCAGUAAGGCUUGAGUUAAUUGUUCUUCCAUAUAAUGUAAACUAUCUCAUAGUGGAACUUGUUGUUUAUCCUAAUAUACAUAAGAUACAAAUA